rnacentral:rRNA from 1 species
ACCUACGGGAGGCAGCAGGGAAUAUUGGGCAAUGGGCGCAAGCCUGACCCAGCAACGCCGCGUGAAGGAAGAAGGCUUUCGGGUUGUAAACUUCUUUGGUCAGGGACGAAGCAAGUGACGGUACCUGACGAAUAAGCCACGGCUAACUACGUGCCAGCAGCCGCGGUAAUACGUAGGUGGCGAGCGUUAUCCGGAUUUAUUGGGUGUAAAGGGCGUGUAGGCGGGAAUGCAAGGCAGAAGCGAAAACUAUGGGCUCAACCCAUAGCCUGCAGUUGAAACUGUAUUUCUUGAGUGCUGGAGAGGCA